rnacentral:tRNA from 1 species
GCCUACGUAGCUCAGCCGGUAGAGCAUCGCUUUAGUAAAGCGGAGGUCGUGGGUUCAAAUCCCUCCGUAGGCU